GACGAACGCUGGCGGCGUGCCUAAUACAUGCAAGUAGAACGCUGAAGGAGGAGCUUGCUUCUCUGGAUGAGUUGCGAACGGGUGAGUAACGCGUAGGUAACCUGCCUGGUAGCGGGGGAUAACUAUUGGAAACGAUAGCUAAUACCGCAUAACAGUAGAUGUUGCAUGACAUUUGCUUAAAAGGUGCAAUUGCAUCACUACCAGAUGGACCUGCGUUGUAUUAGCUAGUUGGUGAGGUAACGGCUUACCAAGGCGACGAUACAUAGCCGACCUGAGAGGGUGAUCGGCCACACUGGGACUGAGACACGGCCCAGACUCCUACGGGAGGCAGCAGUAGGGAAUCUUCGGCAAUGGACGGAAGUCUGACCGAGCAACGCCGCGUGAGUGAAGAAGGUUUUCGGAUCGUAAAGCUCUGUUGUAAGAGAAGAACGAGUGUGAGAGUGGAAAGUUCACACUGUGACGGUAUCUUACCAGAAAGGGACGGCUAACUACGUGCCAGCAGCCGCGGUAAUACGUAGGUCCCGAGCGUUGUCCGGAUUUAUUGGGCGUAAAGCGAGCGCAGGCGGUUAGAUAAGUCUGAAGUUAAAGGCUGUGGCUUAACCAUAGUACGCUUUGGAAACUGUUUAACUUGAGUGCAAGAGGGGAGAGUGGAAUUCCAUGUGUAGCGGUGAAAUGCGUAGAUAUAUGGAGGAACACCGGUGGCGAAAGCGGCUCUCUGGCUUGUAACUGACGCUGAGGCUCGAAAGCGUGGGGAGCAAACAGGAUUAGAUACCCUGGUAGUCCACGCCGUAAACGAUGAGUGCUAGGUGUUAGACCCUUUCCGGGGUUUAGUGCCGUAGCUAACGCAUUAAGCACUCCGCCUGGGGAGUACGACCGCAAGGUUGAAACUCAAAGGAAUUGACGGGGGCCCGCACAAGCGGUGGAGCAUGUGGUUUAACUCGAAGCAACGCGAAGAACCUUACCAGGUCUUGACAUCCCUCUGACCGCUCUAGAGAUAGAGUUUUCCUUCUGGACAGAGGUGACAGGUGGUGCAUGGUUGUCGUCAGCUCGUGUCGUGAGAUGUUGGGUUAAGUCCCGCAACGAGCGCAACCCCUAUUGUUAGUUGCCAUCAUUGAGUUGGGCACUCUAGCGAGACUGCCGGUAAUAAACCGGAGGAAGGUGGGGAUGACGUCAAAUCAUCAUGCCCCUUAUGACCUGGGCUACACACGUGCUACAAUGGCUGGUACAACGAGUCGCAAGCCGGUGACGGCAAGCUAAUCUCUUAAAGCCAGUCUCAGUUCGGGUUGUAGGCUGCAACUCGCCUACAUGAAGUCGGAAUCGCUAGUAAUCGCGGAUCAGCACGCCGCGGUGAAUACGUUCCCGGGCCU
rnacentral:rRNA from 1 species